rnacentral:rRNA from 1 species
UACGUAGGGGCAAGCGUUGUCCGGAUUAUUGGGCGUAAAGAGCGUGUAGGCGGUCAGGUAGGUCGGUUGUGAAACUGGAGGCUCAACCUUCAGAGGUCGACCGAAACCCCUGGCUAGAGUCCGGGAGAGGAGAGUGGAAUUCCUGGUGUAGCGGUGAAAUGCGCAGAUAUCAGGAAGAACACCCGUGGCGAAAGCGGUUCUCUGGGACGGUACUGACGCUGAGACGCGAAAGCGUGGGGAGC